GUGAGGGUAUCUUGCUGGAGAUGCCUGCCUAUCUGAGGCCUUUUAAAGGGGAGCAGCACUUUCCUUAAGCGAUGUUUAGAGGACACUAGUCUGCAAGGGUAAUCAUCCUCGCCUCUGGCAGGAAGAGCUCGUGCACUUGCAUUUCCGAGAUGGCUGUCUUUGUGAAUAAUUGAAUUUGUCUCUGGAGCACAAGAUUUCUUUUUCUGUGGGACUAACUGCAGCUCUGCUUCUUUCCUAUGUGCAGCUUGCUUUAAUUGGGGUAGGAGAAAGGUAUAACGGCUGAGGUUUUUGUGAACGUGACGCGUAAUUGAGGUGAUUGCCAUGAAAAGAGACAUUUAUAGUGUUCCAAAUGCCUCCUCCAGCAGUGAAUGGAUCUGUAGAAAAUAAUUAGAGGACCCCCCACUGCCACCCGAAGGAAAAAAAUGAGUGCCAUAUAAGGCAGCAGGAGCGUCAGUGAGCAGCAGGAAGGGCAGCUCUGCUGCACCCAGGGGUGCUCAGAGCCCAACGAUUCCCCUUGGCUGAUAGUUCCUCAGCAUCUGCCUGGGAUGCUGGUUCCCACAAGGAGCAGCCAAGUCCAACCCAAAAGAAAGGGCUUCUCUCGCCAUAAUUAGUGUUGCUGUGAUUGAAACACUAGGACCAAUUGAGGAAAAAAAUCCAUCAAGAUUGGAGGUGCCUCUUUUUACUUUCUUUCAUCGCUAAGGUCAGCAAUGAUGUUGGGUGGCUGGAUUCAGCCAACUAGAUGUGGCACAGCAGCAGUGUGUUUUUAGGAUAUCAUUUUAGGCACGACGGAAUAUAUUCUAAGGGGAAGACGUAGCAAUCUAGUAACAUAAAUAAGCUGCUCAGGGAUUUCUUUGCCUAUUGAAUACAUCCCAUGGCACUUGGGCUAUCUUGUCAAACUGUGAUGCAUACCUCAGACCAAUAAAAAGGCUCAUCUGAGAUUUCUUUGUCCUGAAUAUUACACUAAGUGGUACAAAUCAGCAUGAGCUGAUCAGCAGGAGAAACUAAGGUAACUCCACCCAUGUCUGGAAGUCCAAACUCUAGAUUCAAGUCCAAUUUUCUUGGACUCUAGUCUCUGAAAAUAAUAUCUGGGUUGUGAUCUACUGUGUGAACCAGAAACCAGAGC
ensembl:lncRNA